rnacentral:lncRNA from 1 species
AAGCUUUGUAAAAGCCUAAAAGUAGGGUAAACAAUGUCUGAGCUGAACUUCUCCUCCUCUCGAACUUACAUGGUCAUGAGCAUAGGAGCAGCUGGGAAUGCCAUCUCAGUGCGAAGCAGUGUUUCCUCCUUGUCCCAGUUACUGCUCAUUCAGGCAGUGUCUACUCUAGAUCAAGCAGGUAACCUCUUGCCGAAUGGGCCCAAACCAGAGACCCAGAGCAGCCAGUGGUUGGUCUGUCAGGGGUGGGAGUAGAGGCAAGAAUCUUGAUGGCCGCUGUCCCCUUCACCCUGGGUCAGGGGAAGGGCUGGCUGACCUUCAGGAAGGCUACUCACUGUGAUCAGUGGCCGCGCCCUCAGCCCCAGACCUUAGCUGUGCAGAACAGCUUGCUGGCAGAUGGCACUGUGUUGCUUUAUCUGUUCCCACACCGUUUGCUUUGUAUGUCUGCCAAGAAUCUUCCAGUUAUUAGCAAACUCAGACAAAAAGUGCCGCCAGUAUUAUCAGCAGUCAACAAGCGCCUUCCUCUCCACAAAAACGACUUGAAGAGAACGAAGGCCUGUUCUGUGGGCCUCCUCCCCUGCAAAGACAUUGAGAGAUCAACAUGUUCCACAAGUGGGGACAGGUGUUCAGAGGGAGCUCUACUGCCAACAGUCAGAGAAACUAUUAUUGAAUUUCUCUAAAAGUCUGCUUGCUAUUUCCAGUCUGAAACAGCAAGCUUAAGAGUUAUAUCUUAGCACUUCCCUCCCUGUCCCCCACCCUACCCCCCAAAAUCACAGGAAAGGGCUGGAUGCCCCUGCUAAUCAGCUUGGCAAUGGCCAGAGGAAACAGGAAGUACAGCCCAGCCCUUCACCAUCCAAGGGGAGCCCCUUGUUGGGCUUUUCUGUAAUGGGAGGAGGUCGCGGGGUAAAGGGAUGGAGCUAUACAGGGGAGGUCUCUGCCCGUGGGUUACAACCAGCUGUGGGUACAGCUCUGUCCCAGAGCUAGAACUCUUCUUGUUCCUUCCAGCUGGAAAUACCACCCCCUCCCCCCCCCCCCGCCUGCCUUCAUGCUUUCUGUCACUCUGACUCCCCCACAUGCUCACCUAUCUGUAAUAAGACAAUCAGAAUAUAAACCAGUAAGGCAGCAUGAAAAAGCUAAGGUAAGAAAGCAAAGUACACCAGUGAGACCUGGUGCCCAAUCAUGGUUUUUUUCCCAUCCCAUAAUCUUCAGAUGAUUCAGAAACAGCACAGCAGCACCUAAGUCUUCAGUUUGGGCUGAAAAAUUGACAAAUACAUAAUUUCUGAAGCUUUCUGUUCAGCUAGUUCACACAGUUUAAAAGACAAAGUUCAGAAGUACACCAAGUUUGCUCUAGAAUUGUUUAUGCAACUUGUGUCAGUAUUUUCGUGAAGACUUCCGUCUUUCACGACCUUGUGUCUUCCUACCACACCUGGAAGCUCCGGCUGCCAUCUGUCCUAAAGGGGACUGCACUCAACUUCCAGAGCUGAGGCGUGUGGUUCCACAUUUAAUCAGAUCAUUAGAAACAAACCAGAGCUCUCCCCAAAACUUGGCACUAUAUAUAACCUGAUCAUUUGGAAAUAUUUUGUUUCAUAAAGCCAAAUGGACAUAAAAUAUCUCAAUCCAUGAUCUCCUAGAGGUGACCAAGACAGGACUUAGUUUUUUCCUCUAGAAAGAAACUAGACACUUAAUUGGCAUUUACAUUCUAGAGGAUUAUAUCCUAAAGCAAAUUCCAAAAACAUUAAAAGGAGCCCACGCUUUCAAUAGCCGAGAAUUACAACAACACAAGAAAUCCCAAGUUUGUACAUGGAAUGGUACUUUCCUCAAGUAGCUUAAUCAUGCUGCCAAAUCUCAAAAAUCAGAUACCCCCUUUCACCUCUGAGCUGUUUUUAAGUAGAAAAUUCUAAGGAUCUACCACAAGAUGGAGAUGGUCAGCAUAAGCCGAUUCUGUUACUCUUAGGUGUAUAUUAGCCACUUAGCCAUCCCUGCACUCUUUUUCCAGGAAACCAGUUACUGACUUCCUCACUACUUGCAGUAGCCUGUCUGCCCCAACUUCUUGAUCCAACGCUUAAGUGAAACUCUUCUCUCUGCCUUGACCUGAGGAAGACCAUCUAAUUGGUUGUGUUACUUUGUAUGUACCCUGUGCUUAAUUGCUAGAACAGUAAAACCAGUACAUGGGAGGGAGGAGGAAUGCCUCGGUCACUCUGGGGGCAGUUUAGAUGCUGUGAAAUUAAACCUGUUCUAAGUGUACUUGUUUGAAUUAAUUGUAUUGUAAUAUUAUUUGUUGAAUGUAGUAAUUAGGUAUUUAUGAAUAUAUUGCUGUAAUUUCUGACAACAUCCAAAAAAUAAAA